rnacentral:rRNA from 1 species
UACACUCCUGCGGGAGGCAGCAGUGGGGAAUUUUGGACAAUGGGCGAAAGCCUGAUCCAGCAAUGCCGCGUGAGUGAAGAAGGCCUUCGGGUUGUAAAGCUCUUUUGUCAGGGAAGAAACGGUGAAAGCUAAUAUCUUUUGCUAAUGACGGUACCUGAAGAAUAAGCACCGGCUAACUACGUGCCAGCAGCCGCGGUAAUACGUAGGGUGCAAGCGUUAAUCGGAAUUACUGGGCGUAAAGCGUGCGCAGGCGGUUUUGUAAGUCUGAUGUGAAAUCCCCGGGCUCAACCUGGGAAUUGCAUUGGAGACUGCAAGGCUAGAAUCUGGCAGAGGGGGGUAGAAUUCCACGUGUAGCAGUGAAAUGCGUAGAUAUGUGGAGGAACACCGAUGGCGAAGGCAGCCCCCUGGGUCAAGAUUGACGCUCAUGCACGAAAGCGUGGGGAGCAAACAGGAUUAGAAACCCUGGUAGUCCCAUG